rnacentral:rRNA from 1 species
UACGUAGGGGGCGAGCGUUGUCCGGAAUUAUUGGGCGUAAAGGGUGCGUAGGCGGUAAUAUAAGUUUCAUGUGAAAUACCCGGGCUUAACCUGGGGGUUGCAUGAAAAACUAUAUAACUAGAGUACAGGAGAGGCAAGUGGAAUUCCUAGUGUAGCGGUGAAAUGCAUAGAUAUUAGGAGGAACACCAGUGGCGAAGGCGACUUGCUGGACUGUAACUGACGCUGAGGCACGAAAGCGUGGGGAGCAAACAGG